ACCUCAUUUAAGGGCUGACCACCACUAAGGCAGCAUCUCUUGGAGAUUGCUCCUUGGUGGAGAUUGCCUCAGCAGUUCCCAGCAGAUCAAAGGCUUCCAUACAGGAAAGGAAAGAACCCUAUGCAGAAUUUUAGUGACAUACUGGAGAGCCUCGAGAGCGUCGCUGAUAGCAUCUGCAAAGUUUUGGUCCGUUGGGACACUGAAGUAUUCGCGGCAAUAACUUGGUCUGACUCCAAGGAUUUCAACCUCACAACCUAUGAAUGAAAAAUAUGGACUGAACAGGAACUUCACAGCCAGUUUCUUCUCUGGCACUUCAGUCUUGGAAAAGACUGGAUCCAGCUCCAUUCUUCUGUAUUUAGGAAAGACGUCACUGCACUUCAGCUGAAGCACACAGUGCUGAAAAAUGAACCUCAGUACGGUGUUAGCAAUUGUGUUUUUCUGAGCAAUUGGACAUUCAGAGGGUGCACAACAUUUUCCCCAGGAAUGCCUUGAAGAGCAGAUGAUUCCUGAUAAAUACAUAAUGCUUAUCUAUGAAGUGAGACUGUUAGUUGCCAUUAAUAAAAAUUAAAAGCAUCCCCACAAGCCAAAUGCUUAUGACAAGAGCUUUUGGCACAAGCAGCACUGGGACACUGAGCACAGUGGUGUUUCAGAGCCUCUGCUUCCAGGGCUGGGAUGUCCUGAAUGAAUACUGCCCACUUGGCUCUGUUUAUGUUCAGAUGUGGAUGUGAUAGAUGAGUGUUCACACUCAACAACCAGCUGCUUGGUGUCCCCUUGUUCUGGGGUUUAGACUUUCUUCUAAGCACUGAAUGUGCACACCAGUGGAAGAGAGGGAAAGAUAUGAAGUAGCAGAUUUUGGAUUCCAAAUUUGCAAAGCUUGGAACUGGCACUGAUGAGGAAAUGGUAGUGAAGUAAUUUGGCACUGGGAAUUAGUUCUCUGGCAUUCACAAUACAUUGCCAUUACAUUUGAUCACUCUUGUUUGGGUCAUUGUCUUCUGUGACUGCUGGCUAGAGAGAAAAUAGCAUCUUGCAGAGCAAAGUACAAUGAACUUGGCACCAUAUUGCUGUUCCUGCUAACAAAGGGCUCUGAACAGCAAAGAACGUGCAGCCAGGCUUUUUGUUCUCAUAAAGGAGUUUGAGAACAGGUUUCGGGAUUGCCAAAGAAAGUGAUCAAUUAAUGUUUGUGACAUCAUUUUCAACUGACAUAAGUAGUUGACCUGCAAAUUUUCAGAUGGAAUGUAUGGACUUGCAAUUGGAUAUUCAACUCAAAAAUUUGAUCACGUCUCUUUACCA